GGAUGUGAAGCGAUCUGGCUGCGAAUCUGUCACCCCCUUGAUGCCAGGGUUGAUUCUGCUGAUCUGACUGGUUAGGCAGGGGUCCCCUUCCUCCCUCACCGCUCCAUGUGCACGCCUCCCGAAGCUUCGUGCUCGGUUGAAGAAGACAACCACCCCCAAUUGAGGAGGACCAUUUCCUCACUCAAGGGUAUCCAAGGAGCUGCACUCCCUUACUAGACCCUCCAAACAAACUCACAAAAUAAAAAUACAAAAGGGCUGGGGAGGAACUCAGUGUGAAGGCCCUUGGGUUCAAUCACU
rfam:Heterocephalus glaber contig58211, whole genome shotgun sequence.